UACGUAGGCAGCAAGCGUUGUUCGGAGUUACUGGGCGUAAAGGGUGUGUAGGCGGUUUUCUAAGUCUGGUGUGAAAUCUCCCGGCUCAACUGGGAGGGUGCGCCGAAAACUGGAAGGCUAGAGUGCGGGAUGGGAGAGUGGAAUUCCUGGUGUAGCGGUGAAAUGCGUAGAUAUCUGGAGGAACACCGGUGGCGAAGGCGGCAUCCUGGACCGGUAUUGACGCUGAGGAGCGAAAGCCAGGGGAGCAAACGGG
rnacentral:rRNA from 1 species